CCUACGGGUGGCAGCAGUAGGGAAUAUUGCUCAAUGGGGGAAACCCUGAAGCAGCAACGCCGCGUGGAGGAUGAAGGUUUUCGGAUUGUAAACUCCUUUUGUUAGAGAAGAUAAUGACGGUAUCUAACGAAUAAGCACCGGCUAACUCCGUGCAAGCAGCCGCGGUCAUACUGAGGGUGCAAGCGUUACUAGGAAUCACUGGGCGUAAAGAGCGCGUAGGCGGGAUAGCAAGUCAGAUGUGAAAUCCUAUGGUUUAAACAUAGAACUGCAUUUGAAAAUGUUAUUCUAGAGUUUGGGAGAGGUAUGUGGAAUUCGUGGUGUAGGGGUAAAAUCCAUAGAGAUCAAGAGGAAUACUCAUUGCGAAGGCGACCUGCUAGAACAUAACUGACGCUGAUGCGCGAAAGCGUGGGGAGCAAACAGGAUUAGAUACCCGGGUAGUC
rnacentral:rRNA from 1 species